rnacentral:tRNA from 1 species
GGUCGCGUGCUUGAAUUCUAAAGGCCACUUUGAUAGAGUGAAAUACGGGGGUUAGAGUCCCCCCGCGUCCU